AGUGAACGCUGGCGGUAGGCCUAACACAUGCAAGUCGAACGGCAGCACAGUAAGAGCUUGCUCUUACGGGUGGCGAGUGGCGGACGGGUGAGGAAUACAUCGGAAUCUACUUUUUCGUGGGGGAUAACGUAGGGAAACUUACGCUAAUACCGCAUACGACCUACGGGUGAAAGGAGGGGAUCUUCGGACCUUGCGCGAUUGAAUGAGCCGAUGUCGGAUUAGCUAGUUGGCGGGGUAACGGCCCACCAAGGCGACGAUCCGUAGCUGGUCUGAGAGGAUGAUCAGCCACACUGGAACUGAGACACGGUCCAGACUCCUACGGGAGGCAGCAGUGGGGAAUAUUGGACAAAGGGCGCAAGCCUGAUCCAGCCCUCCCGCGUGGGUGAAGAAGGCCUUCGGGUUGUAAAGCCCUUUUGUUGGGAAAGAAAAGCAGCAGGUUAAUACCCCGCUGUUCUGACGGUACCCAAAGAAUCAGCACCGGCUAACUUCGUG
rnacentral:rRNA from 1 species